GCCGUCCAACAAUUUUUCUCUUCUAGUCACUUAAAACUCAUGUGACCAAUUGAUACAUGUUACAUGCUUUUUUCUUAAAAUUAAAUUGUUAUUUCAUUUUGUCACAUGCCGACUUAUUUGGUUGUGGAUCAUGGCCCCAGCGCAGCUACUUUCCACACCCCUUACUUCAUGGCCCAUUAGCACCAAUUCCUUCCUUUCAUUUUCUUUUUUUAAUUUCCAUUUAUUUUCUGUUUUGAUUUUAAUUAUUUUAAAAUAU
rnacentral:lncRNA from 1 species